CACGUAGGGGGGCGAGCGUUGUCCGGAUUCAUUGGGCGUAAAGCGCGCGCAGGCGGCUCGGAAAGUCGGGUGUGAAAACUCGGGGCUCAACCCCGGGCGUGCAUCCGAUACUGCCGGGCUUGAGGCAGGUAGGGGAGAUCGGAAUUCCGGGUGUAGCGGUGGAAUGCGUAGAGAUCCGGAAGAACACCGGUGGCGAAGGCGGCCUGCUGGGCAGUAGCUGACACUGAGGCGCGACAGCGUGGGGAGCAAACAGG
rnacentral:rRNA from 1 species